CAUGCACUAGUUGAACCUGACGAAUGAUUAACGGCAGUAACAAGUCAGCUCCACAGACAUUUCGACUGCUUCAGCCUGCACAAUUCUGACCGAAAAUUAAAGAUUUUGGAAGUCCUCCUAAUAACAAAAAAGAAAACUUUCUCUAAAAUUUAUAAGGUCGUUGUAACCAGCAACGUUAUCGCCCUGGCCCGG